ACGCUCGACACCUACGGAAGGCAGCAGUGGGGAAUAUUGCACAAUGGGGGAAACCCUGAUGCAGCGAUGCCGCGUGAAGGAAGAAGUAUCUCGGUAUGUAAACUUCUAUCAGCAGGGAAGAAAAUGACGGUACCUGACUAAGAAGCCCCGGCUAACUACGUGCCAGCAGCCGCGGUAAUCUGAGCGGGCUGGCAAGGC
rnacentral:rRNA from 1 species